rnacentral:rRNA from 1 species
AACGAACGCUGGCGGCAUGCCUAACACAUGCAAGUCGAACGAUACCUUCGGGUCUAGUGGCGCACGGGUGCGUCACGCGUGGGGACCUGCCCUUAGGUUCGGUAUAACUCCCCGAAAGGGGUGCUAAUACCGGAUAAUGUCUUCGGACCAAGGAUUUCUCGCCGUUGGAUGGGCCCGCGUUGGAUUAGCUAGUUGGUAGGGUAAAAGCCUACCCAGGCGACGUUCCAUAGCUGGUCUGAGAGGGUGAUCAGCCACACUGGGACGGAGACACGGCGCAGACUCCUACGGGAGGGAGCAGUGGGGAAUAUUGGACAGUGGGCGAAAGCAUGAUCUACGAAUGCCGAGUGAGGGAUGGAGGACUAAAGGUUGUAUGGGUCUUUUACCCGGGAUGAGAAAGAGUGAACCGGGAGAAAAAGCCCGGGAAAUACGUG